rnacentral:lncRNA from 1 species
UUCCUUGUAUCAUGUUGACUUACUCCUUGAUCAAUAGGGAUGUGGAUACAAAAUUCCAUUUUCCACUACUUAUAUUAUCCUCAUUGGACCUUAAGCUAUAAUCAUCGGUUGUUGUUGUGUGUCUGCCUGCCUGGCAAUGUUUCACCUCUAUUUUUGACCUACUGUUGACUUAUUUGGAACCUGAGAAAGAAUUAUUUUACAUGUUAGAGUACUCUCAUAUGUUCGAAGUCAUAAAACCAGCUGAGAUAAUGAAAUAAUGCCAGGUAAUUACUCGUGGUUUCAAGGUUGCGCAAAGGAGAGGAGGCAUGGUUAUAGGUCCUCGACAACAUCUGCGCCUCAUAGGUCAGCCAUGAUUCUCGGAUUUUUUUGUUCUGCUGUUAUUCCCAAAGAAACAUCGUAGUUCUUUUGGAUGGUGAAAGAUUAUUCAGUUACUGAAAUACUUCUUAUCCAAAGAGCUGGGAAUAUUUAAAACAUCUAAAUUGCUUAUCUCAACACUAUAAUAGAAAGUACUAUCUCGAAAAUAAUAACAAAACACCGUGAUAAACUGGGCACCGAAGCCAUAUUGACACAGACCCAUGAUCAAUGAUAUGUGAGCCAAGUCUUCCCGUGAACUUACAGCCACCCAUUGAGUGCAUGAUUUCUUCCAUCUCCUUUUCUUUUGUUUUCCAGGGCAGAUAUUCCACUGUGCAUCGUAUUUGACCAUACUUAACCAAGUUGAUUCAUAUCAAUUAGUAUCUUUUGGUUUUCUUCCAGUUUAUUAGGCAUGGACCCAGCCACAAAUUCUGAAGCUUCAAUAAUUUGGGUGGUCUAAUAGUUCCUGUAUAGCUUGAUGUCAUAUCAGGUGUAAUAUUUUGUUGUUGCUUGAUGUUGCAUCAAGACAAGCUAGGGUCAACAAGGAACAAAGGGGUUGACACAUGGAGAAGCGGGAGCAUAAAAUUCAAAAGGUACUGAACAUGUGUAUGGAUUACACCGGUGAGUGAAUGGUGUGGCACAUUGAGUCAGAGAGGAGUAGUUGCUUGUCUGGUAUGAAAAACAGUUGUUUCUCGAUUAGAUUAAGGCCAAACUUAUCUUCAACAUGUGUGGUCUUUCAUCACCAUUUUAAAAGAGGUUCAAUGCAAAAUCCUAAGACUGCCAAUUUUUACUAUAUUGGAAGUACUUUAUCGAUACGUUUGGAACAAUUCUCAGAUUCCAUGAAACAUAUUCGUGGCACCAAUUUUAACUAAAGAAUAAAUCAAUC